rnacentral:rRNA from 1 species
UACGAAGGGGGCUAGCGUUGCUCGGAAUCACUGGGCGUAAAGGGUGCGUAGGCGGGUCUUUAAGUCAGGGGUGAAAUCCUGGAGCUCAACUCCAGAACUGCCUUUGAUACUGAAGAUCUUGAGUUCGGGGAGAGGUGAGUGGAACUGCGAGUGUAGAGGUGAAAUUCGUAGAUAUUCGCAAGAACACCAGUGGCGAAGGCGGCUCACUGGCCCGAUACUGACGCUGAGGCACGAAAGCGUGGAGAGCAACAGG